AUUGAACGCUGGCGGCAUGCCUUACACAUGCAAGUCGAACGGUAACAGGUCUUCGGAUGCUGACGAGUGGCGAACGGGUGAGUAAUACAUCGGAACGUGCCCGAGAGUGGGGGAUAACGAAGCGAAAGCUUUGCUAAUACCGCAUACGAUCUCAGGAUGAAAGCAGGGGACCGCAAGGCCUUGCGCUCACGGAGCGGCCGAUGGCAGAUUAGGUAGUUGGUGGGAUAAAAGCUUACCAAGCCGACGAUCUGUAGCUGGUCUGAGAGGACGACCAGCCACAGUGGGACUAGGACACGGCCCAGACUCCUACGGGAGGCAGCAGUGGGGAAUUUUGGACAAUGGGCGCAAGCCUGAUCCAGCCAUGCCGCGUGCAGGAUGAAGGCCUUCGGGUUGUAAACUGCUUUUGUACGGAACGAAAAGACUCCUUCUAAUAAAGGGGGUCCAUGACGGUACCGUAAGAAUAAGCACCGGCUAACUACGUGCCAGCCGCCGCAUAAAAC
rnacentral:rRNA from 1 species